rnacentral:rRNA from 1 species
UGAGGAAGUAAAAGUCGUAACAAGGUCUCCGUAGGUGAACCUGCGGAGGGAUCAUUACUGAGUGAGGGCUCACGCCCGACCUCCAACCCUUUGUGAACCAAACUUGUUGCUUUGGGGGCGACCCUGCCGGCUUUGGUCGGCGGGCGCCCCCAGAGGCCUUCAAACACUGCAUCUAUGCGUCGGAGUAUCAAUUAAAUUGAACAAAACUUUCAACAACGGAUCUCUUGGUUCUGGCAUCGAUGAAGAACGCAGCGAAAUGCGAUAAGUAAUGUGAAUUGCAGAAUUCAGUGAAUCAUCGAAUCUUUGAACGCACAUUGCGCCCUCUGGUAUUCCGGGGGGCAUGCCUGUUCGAGCGUCAUUUCACCACUCAAGCCUGGCUUGGUAUUGGGCGUCGCGGUUCCGCGCGCCUUAAAGUCUUUCCGGCUGAGUCGUUCGUCUCUAAGCGUUGUGGCAACUAUUCGCUUCGGAGUGCGGGCGGCCGCGGCCGUUAAAUCUUUCACAAGGUUGACCUCGGAUCAGGUAGGGAUACCCGCUGAACUUAAGCAUAUC